rnacentral:rRNA from 1 species
CCUACGGGGGGCUGCAGUGGGGAAUAUUGGACAAUGGGGGGAACCCUGAUCCAGCCAUGCCGCGUGUGUGAAGAAGGCCCGCGGGUUGUAAAGCACUUUCAGUGAGGAAGAACGCCUGGUGGUUAAUACCCAUCAGGAAAGACAUCACUCACAGAAGAAGCACCGGCUAACUCCGUGCCAGCAGCCGCGGUAAUACGGAGGGUGCGAGCGUUAAUCGGAAUUACUGGGCGUCAAGCGCGCGUAGGUGGCUUGAUAAGCCGGUUGUGAAAGCCCCGGGCUCAACCUGGGAACGGCAUCCGGAACUGUCAAGCUAGAGUGCAGGAGAGGAAGGUAGAAUUCCCGGUGUAGCGGUGAAAUGCGUAGAGAUCGGGAGGAAUACCAGUGGCGAAGGCGGCCUUCUGGACUGACACUGACACUGAGGUGCGAAAGCGUGGGUAGCAAACAGGAUUAGAUACCCCGGUAGUC